UGAAUACGAGAUGCUACGGCGUCGAAGCAGUCUAUGUCAUACUUCCAAGAAAAGCUUGCACUGUCAUAAACAAAUAAUGCCUGUACCAUAACCGACACAGGUGGGUAGGUAGAGUAUACUAAGGGGCGCGAGAUAACUCUCUCUAAGGAACUCGGCAAAAUGACUCCGUAACUUCGGGAGAAGGAGUGCCUUAUUUAUAAGGUUGCAAUAACAAGAUCCAAGCAACUGUUUACCAAAAACACAGGUCUCCGCUAAGUCGUAAGACGAUGUAUGGGGGCUGACGCCUGCCCAGUGCCAGAAGGUUAAAGAAGUUGGUUAGCAUCCGCGAAGCUGAUAACUGAAGCCCUGGUGAACGGCGGCCGUAACAAUAACGGUCCUAAGGUAGCGAAAUUCCUUGUCGGGUAAGUUCCGACCCGCACGAAAGGCGUAAUGAUUUGGAUACUGUCUCGGAGAGGGGCUCGGUGAAAUAGACUUGUCUGUGAAGAUGCGGACUACCUGCACCAGGACAGAAAGACCCUAUGAAGCUUUACUGUAACCUGAAAUUGAAAUUGGACUUUACUUGCGCAGUAUAGGUGGGAGGCGUUGAGAAUAUUCUUGCGGGAUUAUUGGAGCCAUCAGUGAGAUACCACUCUUGUAAUGUUAGAUUUCUAACUUUGUAUCAUUAUCUGGUCAAAGAACAGUUUCAGGCGGGCAGUUUGACUGGGGCGGUCGCCUCCUAAGCGGUAACGGAGGCGCACAAAGGUUUCCUCUGAACGGGUAGAAAUCGUAUCUAGAGUGUAAAGGCAUAAGGAAGCUUGACUGUGAGACCUACAAGUCGAGCAGGGACGAAAGUCUGUCUUAGUGAUCUGACGGUGCUGAGUGGAAAGGCCGUCACUCAACGGAUAAAAGUUACUCUAGGAUAACAGGCUGAUCUCCCCCAAGAGUUCACAUCGACGGGGAGGUUUGGCACCUCGAUGUCGGCUCAUCGCAUCCUGGGGCGGUAGUACGUCCCAAGGGUUGGGCUGUUCGCCCAUGAAAGCGGUACGCGAGCUGGGUUCAGAACGUCGUGAGACAGUUCGGUCCAUAUCCGGUGUAGGCGUUAGAAUAUUGAGAGGAGCCUUCUUUAGUACGAGAGGACCGAGAAGGACAUACCUCUGGUGUACCAGUUAUCGUGCCAACGGUAAACGCUGGGUAGCUAUGUGUGGAGUGGAUAACCGCUGAAAGCAUCAAAGUGGGAAGCCCACCUCAAGAUAAGUAUUCUCA
rnacentral:rRNA from 1 species